UAGAGUUUGAUCCUGGCUCAGGAUGAACGCUGGCGGCGUGCCUUAAGCAUGCAAGUCAAGGGGUCCCGACGUAAGUCGGGGUACCGGCGGACGGGUGAGUAAUGCGUGGGAAUCUACCUUGAAGUUGGACAUAGCUCAUCGAAAGAUGGGGUAAUUUCCAAUGUGCCCUGAGGUCGCAAGACCGAAGGGUAAAGCAGCAAUGCGCUUUGAGAUGAGCCUGCGUCCUAUCAGCUUGUUGGUGGGGUAAAUGCCUACCAAGGCGACGACGGGUAGCUGGUCUGAGAGGAUGGUCAGCCACAGUAGCACUGCGACACGGGCUACACACCUACGGGUGGCAGCAACUGGGAAUAUUCGGCAAUGGGCGAAAGCCUGACCGAGCGACGCCGCGUGGAGGAUUGAAGGCCUUCGGGUUGUAAACUCCUUUUAUCAGGGAAGAUUAUGACGGUACCUGGUGAAUAAGCCGUUGCUAACUACGUGCCAGAAGCCUCGGUAAUACGUAGGCGGCAAGCGUUAUCCGGAUUCAUUGGGCGUAAAGAGUUGCGUAGGCGGUCCGAUAGAUUUUGCCUUAAACAUUAUGACUUAAUUAUAAAUUUGGGCAAAAUAUCAUCGGACUUGAUGGUUGGAGAGGGUGCUGGAACAGAUUGUGGAGCAGUGAAAUGCGUUGAUAUGAUCUGGAACACCAAAGGCGUAGGCAGGCACCUAGUCAACCCAUGACGCUGAGGCACGAAAGCCAGGGUAGCGAAGCAGAUUAGAGACCUGCGUAGUCCUGGCCGUAAACGAUGGAUGCUAGAUAGUCGGAUUUUUCUGACUGUCGCAGCUAACGCGUUAAGCAUCCCGCCUGGGGAGUACGAGCGCAAGCUUAAAACUCAAAGGAAUUGACGGGGACCCGCACAAGCAGUGGAGCGUGUGGUUUAAUUCGAUACAAAACGAAAAACCUCACCAGGGUUUGACAUGUACCCGCAAGCGCACGGAAACGUGUGACCUUCGAGGGUGGUACACAGAUGCUGCAUGGCUGUCGUCAGCUCGUGGCGUGAGCUGUACCCUUAAGUGGGACAACGAGCGCAACCCGCACCGUAUGUUAAAUUAUUCAUGCGGAACGGUCCCGAGUAUAUCGGGAAGGAAGGCGCGGAUGACGUCAAGUCAGCACGGUUCUUACACCCUGGGCUACACACACACUACAAUGGCGAAUAACAACGAGCUGCAAGCCGGUAACGGCAAGCUAAUCUCUAAAAUUUCGCCCCAGUUCAGAUUGAGGGCUGCAAUUCGCCCUCAUGAAGUCGGAAUUGCUAGUAAUCGCGGAUCAGCAAGCCGCGGUGAAUACGUUCUCGGGUCUUGUACACACCGCCCGUCAAGGCAGCAAAGUUGGGGGCACCCGAAUAACCUUUUGCGAGGUUAGAAGGUGACACCAGCGAUGAGGCUUAAGUCGUAACAAGGUAACC
rnacentral:rRNA from 1 species